UACGUAGGGGGCAAACGUUGUUCGGAAUUACUGGGCGUAAAGCGCGUGUAGGCGGCUAUGUAAGUCGGGCGUGAAAUCCCACGGCUCAACCGUGGAAGUGCACCCGAAACUGCGUAGCUAGAGUCCUGGAGAGGAAGGUGGAAUGCUUGGUGUAGAGGUGAAAUUCGUAGAUAUCAAGCGGAACACCGGUGGCGAAGGCGGCCUUCUGGACAGUGACUGACGCUGAGACGCGAAAGCGUGGGGAGCAACAGG
rnacentral:rRNA from 1 species